rnacentral:snoRNA from 1 species
UGGAUGUGAUGAGUGGUAAAGACUUGCAUACAAUAUGCAAGAGGGGUGUCCGCCCCAGCCUUGUUACGACUGGGGGCACUCAAUCUUUAGACCAAUCUGAUCCU